UACGUAGGGCGCAAGCGUUGUCCGGAAUUAUUGGGCGUAAAGAGCUCGUAGGCGGCUUGGCAAGUCGGGUGUGAAAACUUCAGGCUCAACCUGGAGCGGCCACUCGAUACUGCCAUGGCUUGAGUCCGGUAGGGGACCACGGAAUUCCUGGUGUAGCGGUGAAAUGCGCAGAUAUCAGGAGGAACACCAGUGGCGAAGGCGGUGGUCUGGGCCGGAACUGACGCUGAGACGCGAAGGCGCGGGAGGCGAACGGG
rnacentral:rRNA from 1 species